GUCGAAGGACGCCAUUGCUGUUGUUAUUAGCUUCAUUAACUCGUUCUGUGGCAGGGAAUCCUCUCUCAUCAGACUCUAGAGAUGAAUGAUACCUGUUUGUCCACACAACAGAGGAUCUUCGACCGUCUGGCUUCGAACCCGCAACCCUUUAGUCCACUUCACUGAUCCAUGAUUUGCAAGUGUAAAAAUUAAGUAGGAUGCUGCGAAUACAAAUGCUAUCAGCCGCAGAAUCGGCAGAUACUUGCUGGAGCUGUAGAUUGGGAUCAUCGGUCUCACAGUAUCAAAUAAAGGACACU